rnacentral:lncRNA from 1 species
CAUUAUUAUCUUUUAAUUUACUUUUAUGUCAUUACCUUGUAAUUUAUAUUCAAGUACUCAUCACCAUCAUCAUUGUACAAACUCAUCAUGCAUGUUUAUUUACUUGUUAAUUAUUUUAUUAUCUAGAAACAUUAAAAACAACAAAAACAUGAUAAAAUGAUAAGACAAAGAAUAUCCACUCCACUCAUUAAUCACUUGGACUUAGAGGAUUUCAUUUAGGACCUUUGCUUG